ACGCUGGCGGCAGCCUAACACAUGCAAGUCGAACGGCAGCACAGAGGAGCUUGCUCCUUGGGUGGCGAGUGGCGGACGGGUGAGGAAUACGUCGGAAUCUGCCUAUUUGUGGGGGAUAACGUAGGGAAACUUACGCUAAUACCGCAUACGACCUACGGGUGAAAGUGGGGGACCUUCGGGCCUCACGCAGAUAGAUGAGCCGACGUCGGAUUAGCUAGUUGGCGGGGUAAAGGCCCACCGAGGCGACGAUCCGUAGCUGGUCUGAGAGGAUGAUCAGCCACACUGGAACUGAGACACGGUCCAGACUCCUACGGGAGGCAGCAGUGGGGAAUAUUGGACAAUGGGCGCAAGCCUGAUCCAGCCAUGCCGCGUGUGUGAAGAAGGCCUUCGGGUUGUAAAGCACUUUUGUCCGGAAAGAAAAGCUUAGGGUUAAUAACCCUGAGUCAUGACGGUACCGGAAGAAUAAGCACCGGCUAACUUCGCGCCAGCAGCCGCGGUAAUACGAAGGGUGCAAGCGUUACUCGGAAUUACUGGGCGUAAAGCGUGCGUAGGUGGUUUGUUAAGUCUGAUGUGAAAGCCCUGGGCUCAACCUGGGAAUGGCAUUGGAAACUGGCUUACUAGAGUGCGGUAGAGGGUAGUGGAAUUCCCGGUGUAGCAGUGAAAUGCGUAGAUAUCGGGAGGAACAUCUGUGGCGAAGGCGACUACCUGGACCAGCACUGACACUGAGGCACGAAAGCGUGGGGAGCAAACAGGAUUAGAUANCCUGGUAGUCCACGCCCUAAACGAUGCGAACUGGAUGUUGGGGGCAACUUGGCCCUCAGUAUCGAAGCUAACGCGUUAAGUUCGCCGCCUGGGAAGUACGGUCGCAAGA
rnacentral:rRNA from 1 species